rnacentral:rRNA from 1 species
GACGAACGCUGGCGGCGUGCUUAACACAUGCAAGUCGAACGGAAAGGCCUGCUUUCCCUUGUGGAUUGCGGGUGCUCGAGUGGCGAACGGGUGAGUAACACGUGAGUGAUCUGCCCCCAACUUGGGUAUAAGCCUGGGAAACUGGGUCUAAUUCCCGAUAGGACUGCAGGGUGGUGCCUGUGGUGGAAAACGAUUUUCUAGUGGUUGGGGAUGAGCUCGCGGCCUAUCAGCUUGUUGGUGGGGUAAUGGCCUACCAAGGCGGCGACGGGUAGCCGGCCUGAGAGGGUGGACGGCCACAUUGGGACUGAGAUACGGCUCAGACUCCUACGGGAGGCAGCAGUGGGGAAUAUUGCACAAUGGGCGGAAGCCUGAUGCAGCGACGCCGCGUGGGGGAUGACGGCCUUCGGGUUGUAAACUCCUUUCGACCGCGAGGAAGCCGCCUGGUUGGAAGGGUGGUGACGGUAGUGGUAGAAGAAGCACCGGCUAACUACGUG